AUCCAACUGACAAGUCCUAAAUAGGACGAAACUCGCGUCCUGGAU
rfam:Schistosoma curassoni strain Dakar, Senegal genome assembly, scaffold: SCTD_scaffold0004267